UGAUUUACCAAAAAAGUGACU
rnacentral:piRNA from 1 species